rnacentral:rRNA from 1 species
CCUACGGGAGGCAGCAGUGAGGAAUAUUGGUCAAUGGCCGUAAGGCUGAACCAGCCAAGUCGCGGGAAGGAAGAAGGCUUUCGGGUUGUAAACUUCUUGGACAGGGGAAGAGCAGAAGACGGUACCCUGAAAACAAGCCACGGCUAAAUACGUGCCAGAAGCAGCGGUAAGACGUAGGUGGCAAGCGUUGUCCGGAUUUACUGGGUGUAAAGGGCGGGUAGCCGGGAAGGCAAGUCCGAAGUGAAAUCCGGAGGCUCAACCUCCGAAUUGCAUUUGAAACUGUUUUUCGUGAGUAAUGGAGAGGCAGACUGAAUUCCUUGUGUAGCUGUGAAAUGCGUAGAUAUAAGGAGGAACACCAGUGGCGAAGGCGGUCUGCUGGACAGCAACUGACGGUGAGGCGCGAAAGCGUGGGGAGGAAACAGGAUUAGAUACCCUAGUAGUC